GACGAACGCUGGCGGCGUGCCUAACACAUGCAAGUCGAACGGAACUGUUUUGAAAGAUUUCUUCGGAAUGAAUUUGAUUUAGUUUAGUGGCGGACGGGUGAGUAACGCGUGAGUAACCUGCCUUCAAGAGGGGAAUAACAUUCUGAAAAGAAUGCUAAUACCGCAUGACAUAUCGGAACCACAUGGUUUUGAUAUCAAAGAUUUUAUCGCUUGAAGAUGGACUCGCGUCCGAUUAGUUAGUUGGUGAGGUAACGGCUCACCAAGACCGCGAUCGGUAGCCGGACUGAGAGGUUGAACGGCCACCUUGGGACUGAGACACGGCCCAGACUCCUACGGGAGGCAGCAGUGGGGGAUAUUGCGCAAUGGGGGCAACCCUGACGCAGCAACGCCGCGUGAAGGAUGAAGGUUUUCGGAUUGUAAACUUCUUUUAUUAAGGACGAAAAAUGACGGUACUUAAUGAAUAAGCUCCGGCUAACUACGUG
rnacentral:rRNA from 1 species